rnacentral:rRNA from 1 species
UACGAAGGGGGCUAGCGUUGCUCGGAAUUACUGGGCGUAAAGCGCACGUAGGCGGCUUUCUAAGUCGGGGGUGAAAUCCUGGAGCUCAACUCCAGAACUGCCUUCGAUACUGGAGAGCUCGAGUCCGGGAGAGGUGAGUGGAACUGCGAGUGUAGAGGUGAAAUUCGUAGAUAUUCGCAAGAACACCAGUGGCGAAGGCGGCUCCCUGGACAAUUGCUGACACUCAGGCACGAAAGCGUGGGGAGCAAAAGGG